rnacentral:tRNA from 1 species
CAGCUGUGGCGCAAUCGCAGCGCGUAGCACUCCUAAUGCUGAGGUUGCGGGUUCAAGUCCCGCCUGCUG